GAGUUGAUGCUUCCUUCGUCUCUCAUGGCCGCAAACGUCACGAAGCCGUGUUAUUGUUGAGAUUAAAUCUCUAUCGAGUAGUAUUAAAUAUAAAAAAAUGCCAGGUACGCAGAGAUUAACAUCCUAUCGGCUGCCACGAGAUCUGACAUUAGGUGGUAGUGUUAAACCUGAAAAACCCAAAAAAGUAUAUGUACCGAAUCUUAAUGUACAGAGAACUAAAAAAAAAGAUGAAGCAACACCAGUUAAGAUUGAUGCUCCAAAACCAAAGGAUGUCACAGAUCGUGGAAGAGGACGAGGAAGAGGAAAUAACAGGCAUGGAAAAGACAAGGGAAACAUAAUACAAUCUGCUGGUAUAUGGUCGGAAGGAGUAUUUGCAGCACCUACUGUUAGCAGAAGAUCCUAUAGUAGUUCCAAUAGUAGCAAUAGUACAGGUGCUGAAAAAUAUCUGGAAAAAUCUAAACUAAAUACGAAGAAGAUUAUCAAUAAUGCGGAAGAAGAAGAAAAAUUAAAGAACCUAUUACACGAUGAUUUUAUGGACGAUGGUACAAAUGCUGAUAAGAUGGAUCCUAUUUCGCUACCAAGGGUUAUAAAAGAAGAAUUUAGUGAUGAAGAAAUUGAAAAAAAACCAAUCAUCUCAGAAAGUGGCGAAGUUAUAAAUAUAAAAGAAGAAACUUUAAGCGAAAAAAUUAAAAAAGAAGUUACCAUUUCUCAAAUAAUCGAAAAUAAAACUAACCCUUAUGUAUUAAUGCAGCUUCCAGAUUGUUGGCAAAAUUUAGAAUCCAAUAAAGAAGAAUCAAAGUCAGAAGGAUCAACUGACGCGAAUACUGGUAAAAAUGACGAUAAAACAAAAAGUGAAAGUAGUGGCUUGAAUAGCUUAAAAAGUGGUUUAUUAGGCAAAAUCGAAAUUUUGAAGUCUGGUAAAGCGAGAUUAUGUCUUGGCGAUAAACGUUUUUCCAUUGAUAUUAAUGUACAGCAAGAUUUUCAACAGGAGCUUUUGGCUGCAAAAGUGGAUACUGUGUCAUUAACUGGCGAUCUUAUCAAUCUUGGUUCUGUAAAUAAUCAAUUAAUUUGUUUGCCAGACGUGGAAAGUAUAUUGAAAAAUUCGUAAAUCUAUAAACGUAAUCUUUAAUAAAAGGUUCAUGUAAAAGGAUAUCGAGAACUGAAGGAUUUGUGAGCAAUGUGUAACGCAGAUUAUAAUUAGGGAAAACAUCUCCAGCGGCGAAAUUUGUUUCUCCAAUCUUCGGCGAUUCGUCCUUGGUAUCUUCCCUGAAAAUAAAAUGUAUAUACUCAUAGUAUCAAUAAUACUACUUAUAAAAUAUGGAGAAUAUUAUUGAUAAAGUAAAAUAAUUUUGCAACAUACUUAAUAGUUUGUUUAAUUUUAAUGGCUG
rnacentral:misc_RNA from 1 species